rnacentral:rRNA from 1 species
CAGUCAUACCAACGGGAAAUCAACCUCUUGAGUUUGGUCUUGUGGUUUCGAAGAGUUUAAAAGCCUUCGGAUUUGCGAGGAUUGGGCUCUUCUGGUGUACUUUCUCGUGUGGUUGGUUAACAUCAAUUUCGGAUGCCAUAAAAUGACUGGAGGAAUGUAGCUUCGAUCUCGUAUUGAAGUGUUAUAGCCUUCGGUAGAUGUGGUGAUCGGGAUUGGAGGAUUGCAACGGAUACCCGUUCGGGGCUACCUGUCUGAUCUCUGAUCGUUGCUCUGGUACCGAAGCUUG